ACAAUGAUACUUCCGUCCAGUCACAGCUUUCACGCAAUGAGGGCGGCUCUGUGAGAACCACGAGGGGUGAGAUUCCCAUGA
rnacentral:ncRNA from 1 species